AGAGUUUGAUCCUGGCUCAGAUUGAACGCUGGCGGCAGGCCUAACACAUGGAAGUCGAGCGGAUGAGAGGAGCUUGCUCCUGGAUUCAGCGGCGGACGGGUGAGUAAUGCCUAGGAAUCUGCCUGGUAGUGGGGGACAACGUUUCGAAAGGAACGCUAAUACCGCAUACGACCUACGGGAGAAAGCAGGGGACCUUCGGGCCUUGCGCUAUCAGAUGAGCCUAGGUCGGAUUAGCUAGUUGGUGAGGUAAUGGCUCACCAAGGCGACGAUCCGUAACUGGUCUGAGAGGAAGAUCAGUCACACUGGAACUGAGACACGGUCCAGACUCCUACGGGAGGCAGCAGUGGGGAAUAUUGGACAAUGGGCGAAAGCCUGACCCAGCCAUGCCGCGUGUGUGAAGAAGGUCUUCGCAUUGUAAAGCACUUUAAGUUGGGAGGAAGGGUUGUAGAUUAAUACUCUGCAAUUUUGACGUUACCGACAGAAUAAGCACCGGCUAACUCUGUGCCAGCAGCCGCGGUAAUACAGAGGGUGCAAGCGUUAAUCGGAAUUACUGGGCGUAAAGCGCGCGUAGGUGGUUUGUUAAGUUGGAUGUGAAAUCCCCGGGCUCAACCUGGGAACUGCAUCCAAAACUGGCAAGCUAGAGUAUGGUAGAGGGUGGUGGAAUUUCCUGUGUAGCGGUGAAAUGCGUAGAUAUAG
rnacentral:rRNA from 1 species